rnacentral:rRNA from 1 species
UACGGAGGGUGCAAGCGUUAACCGGAAUCACUGGGUGUAAAGGGUGCGUAGGCGGCGUUGUAAGUCAGGGGUGAAAGCCCCUAGCUUAACCGCGGAACUGCCUUUGAUACUGCAGAGCUUGAAAGAGGUUGAGGUCGGCGGAACGUGACCUGUAGCGGUGAAAUGCAUAGAUAUGUCACAGAACACCAAUUGCGAAGGCAACUGCCUGUGCCUACAUUGACGCUGAGGCACGAAAGCGUGGGGAGCGAACAGG